GUGCCAGCCGCCGCGGUAAUACCGGCAGCCCGAGUGAUGGCCGAUCUUAUUGGGCCUAAAGCGUCCGUAGCUGGCUGCGCAAGUCCGUCGGGAAAUCCACUCGCCCAACGAGUGGGCGUCCGACGGAAACUGCACAGCUUGGGACCGGAAGACCCGACGGGUACGUCCAGGGUAGGAGUGAAAUCCUGUAAUCCUGGACGGACCGCCGAUGGCGAAAGCACGUCGGGAAGACGGAUCCGACGGUGAGGGACGAAAGCCAGGGUCUCCAACCGGAUUAGAAACCCGAGUAGUCC
rnacentral:rRNA from 1 species